rnacentral:misc_RNA from 1 species
GUGAGUCAUCGAAUCUUUGAACGCACCUUGCGCCCGUUGGUAUUCCGACGGGCAUGCCUGUUUGAGUGUCUUGAAAUCGUCAAGCCCCCGCGUUUUCGAACGACGGGACGCUUGGAGUUGGAGGUUGCAGCCCCUUUUGGCGGGCGGCUCUUCCCAAAUGCAUCGGCAUGGACUUUGCGAUUCGAACGCGGCGUUGUAUCGUCCUCGCUCACCGUUCGCUUCGCUACUAUAGACCUGCCUUGACUUAGCCUCUGGAGCGGCGGUCGACCCACUUUGCAUUCUGACCUCAAAUCAGGUAGGACUACCCGCUGAACUUAAGCAUAUCAAUAAGCGGAGGA